CUUAGGCGUGUGACUGCGUACCUUUUGUAUAAUGGGUCAGCGACUUAUAUUCUGUAGCAAGGUUAACCGAAUAGGGGAGCCGAAGGGAAACCGAGUCUUAACUGGGCGUUAAGUUGCAGGGUAUAGACCCGAAACCCGGUGAUCUAGCCAUGGGCAGGUUGAAGGUUGGGUAACACUAACUGGAGGACCGAACCGACUAAUGUUGAAAAAUUAGCGGAUGACUUGUGGCUGGGGGUGAAAGGCCAAUCAAACCGGGAGAUAGCUGGUUCUCCCCGAAAGCUAUUUAGGUAGCGCCUCGUGAAUUCAUCUCCGGGGGUAGAGCACUGUUUCGGCAAGGGGGUCAUCCCGACUUACCAACCCGAUGCAAACUGCGAAUACCGGAGAAUGUUAUCACGGGAGACACACGGCGGGUGCUAACGUCCGUCGUGAAGAGGGAAACAACCCAGACCGCCAGCUAAGGUCCCAAAGUCAUGGUUAAGUGGGAAACGAUGUGGGAAGGCCCAGACAGCCAGGAUGUUGGCUUAGAAGCAGCCAUCAUUUAAAGAAAGCGUAAUAGCUCACUGGUCGAGUCGGCCUGCGCGGAAGAUGUAACGGGGCUAAACCAUGCACCGAAGCUGCGGCAGCGACACUAUGUGUUGUUGGGUAGGGGAGCGUUCUGUAAGCCUGUGAAGGUGUGCUGUGAGGCAUGCUGGAGGUAUCAGAAGUGCGAAUGCUGACAUAAGUAACGAUAAAGCGGGUGAAAAGCCCGCUCGCCGGAAGACCAAGGGUUCCUGUCCAACGUUAAUCGGGGCAGGGUGAGUCGACCCCUAAGGCGAGGCCGAAAGGCGUAGUCGAUGGGAAACAGGUUAAUAUUCCUGUACUUGGUGUUACUGCGAAGGGGGGACGGAGAAGGCUAUGUUGGCCGGGCGACGGUUGUCCCGGUUUAAGCGUGUAGGCUGGUUUUCCAGGCAAAUCCGGAAAAUCAAGGCUGAGGCGUGAUGACGAGGCACUACGGUGCUGAAGCAACAAAUGCCCUGCUUCCAGGAAAAGCCUCUAAGCAUCAGGUAACAUCAAAUCGUACCCCAAACCGACACAGGUGGUCAGGUAGAGAAUACCAAGGCGCUUGAGAGAACUCGGGUGAAGGAACUAGGCAAAAUGGUGCCGUAACUUCGGGAGAA
rnacentral:rRNA from 1 species